ensembl:snoRNA LOC120102703 small nucleolar RNA SNORA17
CCUUCCCUAAGUGUUGCAGGAGUGGCUACUGUGUCACAUAUGCAUCAGUAGGUGGCAGAGAGGAGAAAGGCUAAGUGUCCUGACCUGUGAACAUCUGAAUGAUUAAUUAGU